AUGCUGCAUUCUUGCUCCUUGGGAUUUGAAGAGAAAACGCCUGGUGUCAUACCUAGUGAAAAUAAUGGACUUUCAAGAGGUAGUCCAUCUAAGAAAAACAGACUUUCCUUAUAGUUUUUUCAGAAAAAGGAAACUAAGAGCCUUGGAUUUCACAGAUUCUCAAGAAAAUGAAGAAAAAGCUUCUGAAUAUAGAAGAUCUGAAAUUGAUCAAGUUGUUCCUGCAGCACAAUCCUCACUGUGAGAAGAGAGAAAACUUAUUACGAUUUGUGGGACUGAAUAAUCUUGGCAAUACUUGGUAUCUUAAUAGCAUACUUCAAGUACUACAUUUUUGUCCCGGUUUUAAGUCUGGAGUGAAGCACUUAUUUAAUAUUAUUUUAAGGAGGAAAGAAGCUUUAAAAGAUGAAGCCAAUCAAAAAGAUAAGGGAACUCAACCUUAUGUAUGAAGGAUAUCUAGAGCAUGAUGCACAGGAAGUACUACAGUGUAUUUUGGGAAACAUUCAAGAAACAUUCCAGCUCCUAAAAAAAGAAGAAGUAAAAAAUGUGGCAGAAUUAUCUACUAAGGUGGAAGAAAAACCUAAUCAGAAAGAGGAAAUGAGUGGUUUUAGUGGCAUGGAGAUUGACGAUGUUAGGCAUUUUGAAGAGUGUAAAGAAAAACUCCCCAAAGGAAACGGGAAACGAAAAAGUGACAUUGAAUUUGGUAACAUGAAGAAAAAAGUUAAAGUAUCCAAGGAACAACAGUCAUUGGAAGAGAACCACAGACAAACCAGAUCAAAAAAAGCUACAGAUGAUACAUUAGGUUCCUCCUAAAAUAAUCCCCAAGUACAUAUCUGAAAACGAGAGUGCAAGACCCUCACAAAAGAAAUCAGGAGUUAAGAUAAAUUGGUUAAACUCAGCAACCCAGCAUUCUUUCUAAAUUCUGUAGCCUGGGAAAAAUAACAACAAACCAAGGAUCGAAAGGACAAUCUAAAGAAAAUGAGUAUGAUCUUGAAGAGAACUCGGGGAAGUAUGAGACUAAUAACACAGUUAAUGGUUGUGGACUUGAAUCUACAGGAAAUAAUGUUAAACCUGUAAAUGUUAAUGAAGCUAAGCCCAUUAACAAAGGUACAGAGCAAAUUGGUUUUGAGCUAGGGGAGAAAUUAUUUCAAGGUCAGCUGGUGUUAAGAACUCGUUGCUUGGAAUGUGAAAGUUUAACCGAAAGAAGAGAUUUUCAAGACAUCAGUGUGCCAGUGCAAGAAGAUGAGCUUUCCAAAGUAGAGGAGAGUUCUGAAAUUUCUCCAGAGUCUAAAACAGAAAUAAAGACCCUGAGAUGGGCAAUUUCACAAUUUGCUUCAGUAGAAAGGAUUGUAGGAGAAGAUAAAUAUUUCCAUGAAAAUUGCCAUCAUUACACUGAAGCUGACUGAAGUCUUUUGUUUGACAAAAUGCCUGAAGUUAUAACUAUUCAUUUGAAGUGCUUUGCUGCUAGUGGCUUAGAGUUUGAUUGUUACGGUGGUGGACUUUCCAAGAUCAAUACUCCUUUGUUGACACCUCUUAAAUCGUCACUGGAAGAAUGGAGCACCAAGCCCACCAACCACAGCUACGGGUUAUUUGCGGUCGUGAUGCAUAGUGGCAUUACGAUCAGUAGUGGGCAUUACACUGCUUCUGUGAAAGUUACUGACCUGAAGAGUUUAGAGCUAGAUAAAGGAAACUUUGUGGUUGACCAAAUGUGUGAAAUAGGUAAGCCAGAACCAUUGAGUGAGGAGGGAGCAAAGGGGUGUGGUUGACAAUUAUGAUGAUGAAAAAGUGUCCAUUAGAGUUGGUGGAAGUACACCAUCAAGUAAAGCUUUGAACAAAAAAAAGUAGAAGGUAUUGGACUUCUUGGAGGACAAAAGAGCAAAGCAGAUUAUGAACUAUACAACAAAGCAUCUAAUCCUGAUAAGGCUGCCAGCGCAGCGUUGGCUGAAAGUAGAAACUCUGAGACUAACAGUACUAAUGGGACCCAUGAAUCUGAUAGCAAUAAGCAGUCCAGUGACCAAACAGGCAUUAAUAUGAAUGGAUUUGAGAACAAUUUCCUAUACAGUGCAAAGCUGAAAGGAAUAUGAAGGGAAGUGGUUGCUUUUUGAUGAUUCUGAAGUGAAAGUUACAGAAGAGGAGGACUUUCUGAAUUCUCUUUCCCCUUCUACGUCUCCUAUAUCUACUCCUUACUUGCUAUUUUAUAAGAAAUUACAGAGUUGAGUGUAUUUUCUUUGUGUAUAUAUUAAACAGACCUGCACAAACAUUGCUAAAGUUGAUUACAUCAAAGUUUUUAGCUUAUCUUUUGAAGCUACUGGGUAUACUAUUGGUCUCGCUAGGUUUUUAUAUAAAUAGUGAAAUUUGAAUUACUGAAAACCAUGUUAAUUUUUAGAAUUCCUUAGUAGAGACUAGUGAUGCGUUAGCUUCUGGGAACAAACUUGUAUAGGUUCUUAAUUGAAUCAUCCAAAAUGGAAUUCACACCAGUCUUUUGUGUUUGCUUUUUAAAAUAAAGUGCUUGUAUUUGUAUUCUCCAUAUUAUGGAGUAAUUAUUUACAUGAUGUUUAUAGGUCCUGUGGUUUUUCACCCACAAAGCAGAAUCUCAUUCAGUACAUUUAAUUUUAUAAGAGUCGGGAAGCCAAAUCUUGGAUGGGCUGUGUCAAGCACAAAGUCUGGAAUGUGUGUAUUCACAAUGGUGUACGUUUUGUGCCUUGAGUCACUUUGAAAAGUGUCGCAGAACACUAGGACAGUCCUCAUCUAUCUUCACAAGAAUUUUAUAUGUAUUUAUGAAGAUGAUUCUGUGUUCCAGUAGAUCUCUUUGGGCAUGGACUAAUUUGUAUCUCUUCAUACUUGAUAUUCUGCAUGAUCUGUAUAUAGUGCCUCAGGCUUAGAGGUGUGACUUUAAACUUUAACUUUUUUUAAAAAACCAAGAGGUCAAUAAAAUUUAAACUGCUU